rnacentral:rRNA from 1 species
GACGGAGGUUGCAAGCGUUGUUCGGAAUUACUGGGCGUAAAGGGCUCGUAGGCGGCCAACUAAGUCAGACGUGAAAUCCCUCGGCUUAACCGGGGAACUGCGUCUGAUACUGGAUGGCUUGAGUUCGGGAGAGGGAUGCGGAAUUCCAGGUGUAGCGGUGAAAUGCGUAGAUAUCUGGAGGAACACCGGUGGCGAAGGCGGCAUCCUGGACCGACACUGACGCUGAGGAGCGAAAGCCAGGGGAGCAAACGGG